rnacentral:snoRNA from 1 species
UUGCAGUGAUGACUAUCUUAGGACACCUUUGGAAAAAAAUAAUGAAAAGAAAAAAAAAAAACUGCUGAGCAAC